rnacentral:tRNA from 1 species
GGGAAUGUGGCUUAGUGAUAAAGUGCUUGCCUAGCAUGCAUGAAACCCUGGGUUCGAUUCCUCAGUACCA